GUUUUCAUUACACAUCUACAUUCAGACAAAAUUAAAAAGUCGAACACUCCCCAUUUCUUCCCCGCUAUAUCGUUCUCGAGUAUAAACCCUAGAAAUAAAAUCAAUCAGUCUGUUUCUCCACUUUCUCUACAGGUGUUUAGUGCUUGCGAUUUGGAUAUCGGAGCUUCGAUUUUCAACUCUUGUUUGAGUUCGAGCGGAGAGUUUGGACUCACAGCUUUGUUUGCAGUUCGAUCUUGUAGUGUUGAAGGAAUGGAGAUGUGUUAUCUGACUUUAGUUCUGAUAAGCAAUUUUUCACUCCCAGUCUUCACUAAGUAUUAGUAUUGUGCUAGAACGACUGCCUUCAGCAAGAAAUUAUUGGUAUGCUUCCCCAGAAGCCGGUAAUGAAAGCUCUCUAGUCAAACCAGGACCGUGCUUGUAUCGAAUCAGGAGGGAACUACUGCAGAUAACCGCGCUUGUCACAUCCGAAUCAUUUAUGGAUUGCCACCUACUUUGAUUUGUAUUAACAAUUUGUACUU